UCCUGUAGGCACAGGGUAACAACAAAGUAACGGUUUUUGUUGGAACAUCAGACAAACGAGAGGUUUUUAGGUGACAUCGAUAGGCAUCCGCACCGAGAUAGUUUGAAGUGCCUUGUACAGUUUAUGUGCACUGCUGCGUAAUAGCCAGUUGAGAUUUGAAGUGACGAGAGAAGUUGUGCUCCAUUUAUGACAUCAUUUGAAGAACGAUAGCGUCGCAUUUAGUUUUCAGCCAGCAAUGCGUGUCUGGUUGACGCGCGGGUCAAUAACAAUAACUGGCAUGAAGAGAAAGUUGAGGAUGUACCGGUUUUUUUAAUGCUGCCACCACAGACCACUAUGGCCCGCAGCGUUCUUCCACUCUUCUUCCGAACCUAUGGUUACGUGAAGAUGGUUAGGCUACUCACCAGCACAUAUACGGCCUUUUUUUGCUUGACAGAUUCAAGGACAUUAACAUGGUGCGCCGCCGCCGCCGCCCAGCUUGAAAACACCAGUGACCCAAAUGGACAUUAUGCGUUACAUUCUGUAAACUAUCGCGCAAUGUCCACAUUAUCGACACGGGUGUAUACGUCAUCUUCGCAUCUGGUGGAUGUUUAUUUCUUCAUAAUAUGAGAUUUACAUUUCUGUUGGGCAUGCGACAACUGCACAAACUAAAAAUGGGUAUCCGGUGCACGAAGCAACGUCAUCAAUAUGGUAUCAACAAACGCCCGUCGUGUCCGUUCGAACGAUUCCUUGCCAAACCGUUAAGAACCUGCAGCUGCGCUAUCGAUUCAAGACGACUAUUGUUCCAUAACUAAAUCAACGGCAACCUGCGGGUCGAUUUUCGGUCCGAAAGUAGUUUCGUGCCUUACUGAAAUUAUCCCUUUGUAGGCCUACAGAAGUUACUUGUAUAAUUAUAAAAUUUUAUGCUGUAACUAUGCGAUCUACUGCACACACUUCCAAUACUCAGACAUGCAUUAAUAGUUUUGUCUGACUGCCAAAUAUAGCAGGACGCGAGACGUGCACGAAGCAAGGUGUGCGCAACUCAGGUGAACGUGUCAGCGAUUCUAUGUAAAAACCAAUUUCGAACAAUGGGCAAAAGAUGAAGGUUUCUUUUUUGAAAAGUUCCCUUUUUUUGAUGGCAGGAUGCAUUUAUCGCCCCUAGUGACAUCCUACGAUCAUAAGCUAAGCGUUAUAAAAGGCAUGAAUAAUUUUGCCCCACAAAGAAUGAAUGCACAAAAUGAUUUCUCUCAAUAGACGCCGUUUAAUUCCCAAUAACUAUAUAGUAAGAUAGAAUAAUUUGUUUAUUUUUUAGCGUCACUUACAGAGCCGUCGGUGGAGUUGAUCUACAAAUUAGGAGACAUGUUCGACUAGUUCUAUUUCGCGUACAGGAAGUUCAAUUUGCUGAUUUAAGGUCAACUAGUGCUUCUGCCAUGAUCGGCUUCCAUCGUACGGCAGAGUUGCCGGCCAAGUCAUUUUUAGAAUGUUCCAGGGAAAAUUGUCACGUGGGAGCAUAGUAGUCCUAUUGUAGUGAACGGAACCUACCGACGCCGCUGCCUCUUUAAUAUAGAAUGUUCAUGUCCGCUAGCCUACAGACAAUGAUGCAAUAUUACAGGCAGGAAAAGACAAGUGGGAAAAGAGAUAAGGAAAAAUAUAAAUGUGUUGCAUCUCUUAUCGGAUAGACUUCAGUCGUGUUCCGUUCACGUAAUACUUUCCGCUUGUAUAUGCAUAAUAUAUAUGUAGGCAAAUCACAUAUGAUUUGAUGGCUAUUUACAACAUAUUCGAAUCAUGUGUACGUUUGUAGAGUUGGCGUUUCCGUUGUACGGUUUUUUAGAGAGGUUGUAGAUUUCUGAGUGUAGGAAAUAGUGAUGCUAUAGCUUGCUUGACGUGUAGCGUUGUAACUAUUCUGUGAACAUCCUCUAUUUUUCUACAUCGACGUAUAUACACCAUUAGAUAGUAAGUAAGAAGUGAACUACGGGCUAAAAAAGCAUGCCGCCCGUGAGGUGCACGUACAGGCUCGUAGUCACGCAUGUGUCCGUAUGAGUCGCCCUGGCACGUGACUGUCUGACAAGACACAAAUCGAACAAACUGGCCUGCUUUAUCUGGCCUCAAAUAAGUGUCUCGAGCCGCAUACCCCCUUCUCCCUCCGUCUUUCUGUUUUGCAUAGUGAUUCUGCCUAAUGAGCACAAUUCAACUUACGACUUGCUAUCAUAUGAACUUCGCAUAUGGAGUACUGUGGCGUAAUCCUUGUGUAACGUGGCCCGACUUAGCGGCGCCCUAUUGCCUGUCUCACUUAGCUUAGAAACUAAGGGCAGGAAAAUUAAGCAACUCCAAUAGAAUCGUAUUUUAAGACUCUUGGCACCCAUUCGGUAUUAUCUCAGGUCUCUCUCCCUUUUUGUUAAUUGUGUCGGAACACCCCUUACUGCCCCAAUUGCUUUUGACCGAAAGGACUCAUAGUUUAGGGACGUGCGUGUUUUCCGAAAUGAGCUUUAGUCGCUCUGACGGCGACGGCGGCGGCGGCGGCCUGCUAAAAAGGCAGUGUACUCUAUAUAAAGGCGGACCCCCACCCUCAAUACAACUGACAAGUUCCGGCAUGUCCCUAGCCUGUGAGUUUCUUUUGCAAAUUGCGGAGUUCCACUACCAAUUGUGUCACUCUCGGCGCUUUUCGCAGCAAUGGGAUGAAAGCUGAAAACAAAGAUUUGUUUCUAGAAAGAUGAAUUGGCUCCUGCUUAAAGGAGCAACUUCAGCUCCGCCGCUUAUGGUUACAGGUUUUGUUUCGGCUACGAACUUUCUCGAGAGCCGAACUAGCUGCUGGGGUCGUUCCAGUUUCAAAUAUCGGCUUCGACCUGUCCAAUCCAGGACUACGUAAUCAACGCUGUCGCUAUCAAGGGUUCCUGUGUGCUUGAUCACGUUAUGGUCUCAUACAUGCAUGUGCUUCGUACGGAGCACAUUUAUUAGCGUUUAUUUGACUCGGUCGCUGUGGCCGUUUUACUUCUCAGUAAAAUGGCGCGUAUAUAAACUAGACAAAGCGUAAAUACCACUCACCCAUGUUGACGCCAAUGGUGAUACGUGAAUAAGCUCUCAGGCACGCAAAGAAGUGCUGUUGUAACACAUCGAUUUAGCAGUAUUUGCUCAAUCGUGCUAUCUAUUCACGUGCAUUCGAGUCUGUUGACUAAUAAUAAUAAUAGUUAGUACCGGAAGAAUGAGGAAAAACGUUUUGAUCAAUGAAGCAGAUGGUGAAGUAGCGUCUGUGCGUGCGCAGUCAUCCAAGGUGCCGCAUCCUUACCAUAACACAACCAUACUCACAACCACUGUAAUUCCAAUAUGUGAGAAUUUUCGUACUUAUAUUAACUUCUGCUCACAACUACAGUAUGACCGAAGCCGUCAAGAUUUCAAAUUUAGAACACGAAAUAUGGUAAAGAGUAUAACUAAAAAGCGUCUAAGCAAAGGAAAAAUACAAGGACAAGUAGUGCUAUCGGGCUUAAUUUGAUCACUUGACUAAUUGUUUCUUAAUUUUUUUUUCUAAAAUAUACAUUGCCGUUAUAUCAUCUGCUAAAAGAGGUUUCGCUUUUGACGUUUCGAGAGACAAUAGCUCUACGAGACGCAAUUCGGACCAUUGAAGCUAGGUUUACCCAGGGAAUAUUUCAGAUCGCAUCAAACAUUUUUAUCAAACCUGUGCUUUAAGUAACGGUCAUAGUUUUAAUUGCACCCCUGUGAAUUACAGUCUGAUAGAAUCAAUCUUGAGCGCAAUACAGCACCGCCCUCGCAAAAUUCUAGGCGCCAUUCCCGGAUAUCGGACUAGGUUUAGAAAAGGUAUGAAGUAUUUGUUUGUCACAAACAGAAUCUUUACCGAAAUCAAUCUAAGCUCCACCCAUCGCUUCAAAUACGAAAAGACAACUAAGUUUCCUUUGGGAAGUGUUAACUACUUUUUAUUUGGAGGAGUUUUUUUUGUGCGAAAUUGUAUCCAUUUAUUAUCCGUAAAACAUUUUUCAAUUACCUUAGAAAAUCGCCUUGAGGCUGGCUAAUAUAAUGGAAAAGGCCUUCAGCCGUAAGCUGAUGCUUUUAAAAAUUGGCUUCGCAAUCCAAACUGCCCAGCAUCUAACGGCCUUGAUGAAUGUAACACUUGUAGCAAAUAGUUCCCUUUCCGCCUUCCUUUACGCAUUGGUUAUUACCACCUCUUCGCUGUGUUUCUGAUACGAAAUAGGUUUUGGGUUGGUUGUUGAAUUGGAAAAUCUGAAGAAACCAAAAUGUUGAAAUUGGCUUCGGAUGAAGCCUGUGGAAGCUGGCAACCUGAUGCUUUGUUAGCCUGCAACGUUCAUGUCAAGAAGGAACCAAGAAUAUUUAUCGUGUUUGCUGUUUACCUCAGUCGUCCUAAAAACAUCAAUAAUGACGUACGGAGCCGGAAAAUUAAAAGGGGCUAGUACGUAUAACUUCAUUGUCGAGCAUUUAGGAAAUCAUGCAAUCUUAUGAAGUUCAAAAGAGCUACACACACACAGCCUGCAUUUUUGUAUCCAGUUAGAAAGGCGCACAUUCUAUGAGCUGACAUGACUCUAGGACACUUUUGCGAAAUCACGUCUAGCCCCUGUCCUCAGCCAGGAAGUUCAAACACAUCUAACGGCUUUAAGGCUGAAUUUAUCCUGUUAAUAUAAUGGUUUAUCCUUCAAAAUAGACAACCACUAUAAUGGUUUUGCGUACUUCUGUUUAGUGAUCAAAAACAGUUCGAUACUGAACAAAGAUAUAUCUAAUAUCGUGUAAGAAUCAAAAAUAUUGAAGUUGUCGGUCACAUCUCAAUGCGAACUUCGUGGCUCUAGCUCGAUUUUGUACCAAAGUAAGAUCCCAUUAAAGACAUCAUAUGUCUCUGUCCAUUUACGUUAAAUUAACAUUUCGCAUUUGAUAACAAGGUUGCGCAGAUCUUGGAAGCCGUUACGUAGCAAAUUAGGUACGUAUUAGCAAGUUACGUAACCGUAUUCUAACUCAACGUUAUGUCGAUUUGAGCAUGUUGAGAAGCGGUGUUACUUUUCCAACAUGUAGCAUUGCUUUGGCAACGCAUCCUUAACUUGGCACGAAAUUAUAAGGGGUUGCGAAAUUUUAUCUGAACGCGUCUAGUAGCAUACGCAACCCUCUAUGGCACCAUGUUCAGCACUUAUCUCUAUAGGAAUUUUCAUAGUUUUUGUAAAUGACAAAGGGUUGUACGUUGAGGGGGUGGCGUGGCCUGGGUAAUUAAUGCACGUCUCUCUGAGUUCAUUAACAUAGUAGCCACCAGUAACAAGCACGCUGCUAAUUUAAAUCUCAAAAUUCGUAAAACUAGCAAUGAACGACUAGAAAAGAAAAAAAAAAAAUAGAGAAAAAUACAAUAAUAGCUGAUUAUAUAACUGCAAUGCAUUUUCACUGCUCUGUUGGAAAAACCGCAGACAAGUCCAAUAGGACCCACUCCCACUCCACGCGGCAAAUCCUUCACGUUAUACCUAAAAAAAGUGAUUUCGGUAACCUGUUGACAUAAAGACCAUAAGUAAAAGCACCGAAAAGCAAUGAGAACUAAACAGAGAAAUAUAUUUAGAAAGGCGUCACUUUUGAAUACGAUGUACAUGUGAGUAAGCAGGCAACAGCAGGUAGUUUUCAUCGUAAAACUAAACCAAUAUUUUAAUUUGAAUUUCUGUUAUCAUAAUAUUCAUGCCAAUUUUGAAUGCUUCCGGAAUAGAAAAUACAACCGUGGGUUUAGGUGUGUGACAGAGUCUGUCCUUCUUAUAGCCUUACAGGAAAUAUCCAGAAGAAUCUAAUCACAGGGUCUGAACGGUCACUCGAUAUCAUUGCCGUGCAUCGAGAUCAGUCGACUUAGAAACAACAUUUCAAGCAUAUUGCUUGUUCCCUGCGUUGUGUGGCAAGUUUCCCCAUCUUGCCAAAAUCAAAUGCUAUUUGCGUUUGCUGUCCUAAUUUCGGGCCGCAAAAAAAUCUGCGACAUGUUACGCUGAAAGCCGCCGCUGACUGCUGCUACCGUUCCACCAUAAUUUUCCAAGAAAAGGGCCGAGUCACAUUUUCGCUUUACAAACCGCGGCACACAGUUACGUUUUGCGAAUGAAGCAGUUGUCUGACAUUUAUUUUUGGACGCUCUGAGCCCCAGAUGCGCCAAUUUUUUAUAUUCACACAAUAGCUACUUCGAUAAAAAAAUAAAUUUCAUCAGAGAAGAUGACACUUGCGGAGUGUUGCCGUAAUCAACUUAUAGUAAGUUUUUACGAAACGCUCCAGAGCUACGCCUCAAGCUACUGCUGAUUUUAUCUUUCGACAGGCUGAAUGCCUUUGUCAGCUCCCGGCCACAUGAAGCGAGGAACGAAAUCAGCCGGCAACGUCUUACGCACCCCAUACUAAUACACGAACGUUCCAUUGUCCGCGCUGAACAAAAGCGGUUUAUUGAAACCACAAUCUAUCCAACAUCCAUCUACAGAAAUUGCCUAAUGAAGCAGGCAACAUUGAGACAACAUUGUAAUAGUUUCGGUAUUUUCUUAUUUCUCCAGUAACAGCAGCAUCUUUCGUGAUACAGCUCAGUGAUCGUACUGAGUGCACCGUAUUACUGGCUAUAACGGCGCCACGAUACGGCUGUGCCACGACAGUUGUUCUAUCUUCAUUCCUAUAGUAAUUCGUCGCGUAGUCCCGCCCCCUUUUUUCAGGUCCUUCGUUUCAAAUUGAUGUUAAUAGUAAAAGCGGCACUAGUAUUAACGGUAGCGGUAAUGCCGGAUGCGUCGACCCCUGAAGAGAUCGCGCUGGAGGAUCUGUUCAAUGAGAUCUGGCACAGAAGAAAACGAUCCAGCAAGCCUGAGCUAAAAGACACAAAGGUGAACCUAUAGUUUGAGUUGAAGGAUAAGGUAAAAUUGAACUAUUGAAACUGUUGAUAGGGUAAGCGUGCUGAUAGUGUGUGGGGUUCCCAUGCGCAAGCCUAUGUAAUACUAAAUAAGGCUUGCUCUUGCUCUCUGCAUUCUAUGAGAGUUAAACUCCCUUAUUUUCCUCUCUAACAGGAAACGCCAAGCUACUUCGUUCCAAGCCUCGAACUCGAGGGAGCUUGCCGUUGAAAUGACGAUUUGUUCCGACGAAGCUGUCACUUUGUACUAGGAAGGUGCAAAACAGGCAAUGAUUUCUAUAGCUGACUAGUUAUAGUAUUUGGCUUAGUGAGAACAUUAGUUGGGGUACGUGCAAAAAUAGCUUUGUAAAUGGUCACUGGCCAAGCGCUGUUCGUUGCACUAAAUAGGAUAACAUCAUUUCUCCCUUCUGGACCUCGCAGACGUCGCGGAAAUACGUUGGACGACCUGGUAAACGUUUGUUUAAGGGCUUGACCGAAGGGACCAAGGCCAGCCAAAUCUGCCGUACGAUAGAGGCUGUAUGUCAAGAAUGGUCGUACUGACUAUAAAUCGUAUAGUCGUACUGACUGUAAAUUUAAAAUGGACUAACAGCUGUCGGCUACUGAAUAAUAACAAUUAUUAUUAUUAUUGUGUAAGUACUGAAUAUAUUAACAGUUCGACGCGAUCAAUAUAGACAACUUCAGGACAGAGCUCAAGUAACUGUACUAGAUAGAGUUGUUUGUUUUUACAAUUCAAUUCAAAUCAGUUGGGAUAGAUUAGAAUUUUGAAUUGGCAGUGUAAAUUCGAAAUUCUGAAUUCGAGUUAACCGAGAAUGAGAAUUUUUAGGAUUACUGAUUUCAGGCCGGAGGCAUAACCCCGAAAGCGAAAACGCCUUACGUAAUAACUUGCAUUUUGUAACAACACACAAUUAAAUUCAUAUAUUUCUGAGUUUUACAAAUUAGUAAAUACAAUAGUCCAACAUAUGUAAGUUAUUUCUGAAAAAAAAAAAUCGCUGUUUCCAUCACUAAAGUUUCAAGUAGCAAGGUUAACCAAGGGUAGAAUUCAUGACCCGUUUGGAACAUUAUUGAUUUUUGUAUACUUUUCCUAAUUUUAUGUUCUUCUUAUAUAGUCGAAAUAUUUAGAUUUAUGUUCUAAUCGCGAUCUUUGCGUAUGUGGAGCAGCGCUACAGUAGACUGUUCCACAAAGUAGAUUAACUUUCAAUGAGACCGAAAAUAUCUGUUAGAAAAAAAACAAAGCGGCACUAGAAAAAUUUCGCAGGAUUCGAUACGCAGUAAACUAACUAUGAGUCAUUCCUCGCUGGGUCUGCCUCCAUCAGUCCUAACACUGUUAUCACGACAAGCAUCAGAAUAUCCAAGAACGAAAAAAAGGGCAUCUUCAAGUUUCAUUCUCCUAUACGAACAAGUAAAACAGAUGAAACUGAACAGCUGACAGAACGAAAGGCUUAGGCGGGGUGCGCAUAGAUAGCCACUGAAAAAGAUGCACGUAUAUAUAUAUAUAUAUGCAUAAGUAUGUAUCGCUAAGUUAUACGAACGCGUUACGUGCAAAACUGGCUGUAAAUAUCGCCUAGCCUCUAUUCAUGUUUUAGAAUAGCGCGUGAUUUUAUAUAGGUCUGAGACACUGGUGGUUUAGAUCCGUCAGCUCAGAUUUAUAAAGAGCAAUAGUUUUAUUUAGUACAGCCUAUUCCAAGGUCUACUCUAUAUAUUAUGGUGUAUGGCGAGCCUCAUGUUCUAUAGAGAUGAUGCGAUCUGUGUUU